ACCUCCGAGUGGAAGGGCCGUUGCUCAACGGAUAAAAGUUACUCUAGGGAUAACAGGCUGAUCUUCCCCAAUAGCUCACAUUGACGGGAAUGUUUGGCACCUCGAUGUCGACUCUUCUCCACCUAGGGCUGUAGUAUGUUCCAAGGGUUGGACUGUUCACCCAUUAAAGCGGUACGUGAGCUAGGUUCAGAACGUCGUGAGACAAUUCGGUCCAUAUCCGGUGUGGGCGUUAGAGCAUUGAGAGGACCUUUCUCUAGUACGAGAGGACUAGGAAGGACGCACCUCUGGUGUACUAGUUAUCGUGCCCAUGGUAAACGCUGGGUAGCCAAGUGCGGAGCGGAUAACUGCUGAAAGCAUCUAAGUAGUAAGCCCACCCCAAGAUGAGUGCUCUCAUAUUUUGACUUCCUCAGAGCCUCCGAUAGUACAUCUGAAACGGCAAGGGGUU
rfam:Gossypium hirsutum cultivar TM-1 chromosome 21, whole genome shotgun sequence